rnacentral:lncRNA from 1 species
GCGCCUGAGAGCCAUGUGAUAUGCCAGCUCAAUUAAUGAGCCAUCAUCCAACACCUCUCCUUUUUUCUAAUUUUUAAUUUCUGAUUUCUAUUUUCUUUUAUAUCUUUUAAUUCCAUUUUAUUUCUAAAAUCCAUAUCUCUUUCAUUAUUGGUCCAAACAUUAUGGGACCAAUUGCAUUAUUUCUUUUUUAUUUUCUACUUUCUAAAAAUGAUUUUUAAUAUUUUUUAUUUCAUCAUUUGCUAUUUUUUAGUAAUUUU